rnacentral:rRNA from 1 species
GGGUCAGUAGGCUGGUCGUGCCACCGGUACGUACUGGUCUCACUGAUUCCUCCUCCCUGAAGAACCGUAAUGCCAUUAAUUUGGUGUUGCGGGGAAACAGGACUGUUACUCUGAAAAAAUUAGAGUGUUUAAAGCAAGCUAGCGCUUGAAUACAUUAGCAUGGAAUAAUGAAAUAGGACGAUCGAUCCUAUUUUGUUGGUUUCUAGGAUUGACGUA